rnacentral:ribozyme from 14 species
UCCUUGUUUUGCCUUUUUUUUUGUUUUUCUCCCUCUCAAUGAUGAGAGAAAAUUUAAAAGUUUCCAAUAUCUCUGUAUGACUACCGUAUGUACUGUGAUGACGCAAACGAAAGGGAAAAAAAACGCACACAACUAUAUAAUUUUU